GCCUUCGUGGUGUAGUGGUCAGCACGCUGGGCGCGUAUUCCAGAGGUCCGUGGUUCGAGUCCCGGCUAAGGGU
rnacentral:tRNA from 1 species